rnacentral:rRNA from 1 species
AUUGAACGCUGGCGGCAUGCCUUACACAUGCAAGUCAAACGGCAGCACGGGUGCUUGCACCUGGUGGCGAGUGGCGAACGGGUGAGUAAUACAUCGGAACAUGUCCUGUAGUGGGGGAUAGCCCGGCGAAAGCCGGAUUAAUACCGCAUACGAUCUACGGAUGAAAGCGGGGGACCUUCGGGCCUCGCGCUAUAGGGUUGGCCGAUGGCUGAUUAGCUAGUUGGUGGGGUAAAGGCCUACCAAGGCGACGAUCAGUAGCUGGUCUGAGAGGACGACCAGCCACACUGGAACUGAGACACGGCCCAGACUCCUACGGGAGGCAGCAGUGGGGAAUUUUGGACAAUGGGCGAAAGCCUGAUCCAGCAAUGCCGCGUGUGUGAAGAAGGCCUUCGGGUUGUAAAGCACUUUUGUCCGGAAAGAAAUCCUUGGCCCUAAUACGGUCGGGGGAUGACGGUACCGGAAGAAUAAGCACCGGCUAACUACGUG